rnacentral:rRNA from 1 species
ACCGUGAAACUGCGAAUGGCUCAUUAAAUCAGUUAUCGUUUAUUUGAUAGUACCUUACUACUUGGAUAACCGUGGUAAUUCUAGAGCUAAUACAUGCUGAAAACCCCAACUUCGGGAGGGGUGUAUUUAUUAGAUAAAAAACCAACGCCCUUCGGGGCUUCUUGGUGAUUCAUGAUAACUUCACGGAUCGCAUGGCCUUGCGCCGGCGACGGUUCAUUCAAAUUUCUGCCCUAUCAACUUUCGAUGGUAAGGUAUUGGCUUACCAUGGUUUCAACGGGUAACGGGGAAUUAGGGUUCGAUUCCGGAGAGGGAGCCUGAGAAACGGCUACCACAUCCAAGGAAGGCAGCAGGCGCGCAAAUUACCCAAUCCCGACACGGGGAGGUAGUGACAAUAAAUACUGAUACAGGGCUCUUUUGGGUCUUGUAAUUGGAAUGAGUACAAUUUAAACCUCUUAACGAGGAACAAUUGGAGGGCAAGUCUGGUGCCAGCAGCCGCGGUAAUUCCAGCUCCAAUAGCGUAUAUUAAAGUUGUUGCAGUUAAAAAGCUCGUAGUUGAAACUUGGGCCUGGCUGGCAGGUCCGCCUCACCGCGUGUACUUGUCCGGCCGGGCCUUUCCUUCUGGAGAACCUCAUGCCCUUCACUGGGUGUGUUGGGGAACCAGGACUUUUACUUUGAAAAAAUUAGAGUGUUCAAAGCAGGCCUUUGCUCGAAUACGUUAGCAUGGAAUAAUAGAAUAGGACGUGCGGUCCUAUUUUGUUGGUUUCUAGGACCGCCGUAAUGAUUAAUAGGGACAGUCGGGGGCAUCAGUAUUCAAUUGUCAGAGGUGAAAUUCUUGGAUUUAUUGAAGACUAACUACUGCGAAAGCAUUUGCCAAGGAUGUUUUCAUUAAUCAGUGAACGAAAGUUAGGGGAUCGAAGACGAUCAGAUACCGUCGUAGUCUUAACCGUAAACUAUGCCGACUAGGGAUCGGGCGAUGUUCUUUU